rnacentral:rRNA from 1 species
GACGAACGCUGGCGGCGUGCUUAACACAUGCAAGUCGAACGAUGAAGCCGGAGCUUGCUCUGGUGGAUUAGUGGCGAACGGGUGAGUAACACGUGAGUAACCUGCCCUUGACUCUGGGAUAAGCGUUGGAAACGACGUCUAAUACCGGAUACGAGCUGAGAUCGCAUGAUCAUUAGCUGGAAAGAACUUCGGUCAAGGAUGGACUCGCGGCCUAUCAGUUAGUUGGUGAGGUAACGGCUCACCAAGACGACGACGGGUAGCCGGCCUGAGAGGGUGACCGGCCACACUGGGACUGAGACACGGCCCAGACUCCUACGGGAGGCAG